GAUACUCUGACUACCCAGACGCAUAUACAUCAUGAAACGUAGUAUCAAGAAUUGGGUCUACAAUUUCUAUUGUAGGAAUCAUUAUAUUCAUUGUAAUUAUAUGAGAAAGAAUGAUUACAAGCCGAGCAAUUAUAUUUAGAGCUAACAUAAGAAGAUCAACAGAAUGACUACAAAAUAACCCUCCUGCAGAACAUAGUUACUCAGAAUUACCAUUAAUCUCUAGAU